GUGAGUGGAGGCGCUCUCAGGGUGAGGAGAGAAGCAGAUGGGCUGACAUGGUGGAGCGAGGGCAGCUCCAGCCUGCGUUUGGGGAGAGUGUGCAGAAAAAUGGCUGACAUUUCCCUGCUCGCGAAUGCAUGAUGGGCGUCCUCCUCUGCAUUUCCAGAUGUCUUCAGCUCAGCGUUGGAUGCCUUUCCAAUAGACAAAUACAAGCGAUUAACUUCACAGAAUGUCUGUGAGUUGAAAUUCAGACAAAGAUUAAAUGGUACAUUCUGGCCUUCAGAAUUCAAAGCAUUGGAGAUGGGGAUCCUGGACAUAAGCUUGUUUGCAGUAUGUGUGAAAAAGGCUUUCAUAGCUGGAAUUAGAUGAGAAGCAUUAUGCUAGGAUGCCUCUGGCCACCUUCAAAGCAUCCUUGUAAAGUCGGUCACAAACAUAAGUAACUUCAUUCUGUCCAAAGUAUUAGCAUGUUUUUCAGUGCUUGUUUUCCAAGUAUUCUUACUAAUACUUUAAUGACGGCUGUAUACCCCAGUGCUGUGGAGCUGGCUGAUGUGUCUUGCUGUGUUUCAGCGAAUGUUGUGAGGAAUCUACAGCAAUUAGCUGCUCAUGCCUCUGCUUUCCUGUUUUGUGCCUUCCCUUUCAUGUAUCAGAUGUUUGUAAGUUUUCCAUUAGACAUUUCCUGCUUCUAAUAGAUGUUUGUGAGGCUUUGCUUUGAGCUAUCAGGGCUCCAAUUUGUGCUGAGAUGUUUGGUUUUGU